rnacentral:lncRNA from 1 species
CCUUGGUCUUCACAGGAAAGUCGUGAGCAACCCACAUAAGUAAAGCUGUCCUCUUUCUCACUUCCUCUUUUUUCUUUCUUGCCCAACCCCUCUUCUUGCUUUAACACAGAAGAAACAACCCAGGUUAUACUCUUUCAUCUAAACUGGACAUUUAUUUGUAAAUGAGGGAUUGGGCUGUUGUUGAAUAAACAGGGGAUAAGUUAAAAGAGAUUGCUUGAAGAAGGAUUCUGGGAGUUAACAAUGGCUGUGGACAUGUGAAGGAAUAGAAGAGGAGCAGACAAUUGAGAGGCCUGGCUCAUGGAUGGGUUUGAACCACCUCAGGACUGAAGAUGAGCGGCUCAGUUUCACUAACAACAAGAACAGUGACAAAUUCCCUGCCCGGCCCAAGCUCUGUGGUCCUUAUGCAGAUGCCAGUGGCACCCCUGUCCCAGAUGUGACAACCAAAAAUGAUGUCAGACAUUGCUGAAUUGUCCCCUGGAGGAGGAGAAAAAUCAACCCCUUUGAGAACUGCUGGGCAGCUCUAAAGGUCAUCCCUAAGUUCAGGGUGAGGAGAUGACCUACCCUUCUGCCCCGCAACGCCAUCCUACAUCUGAAAUUCUUCUUAAGGGCAUGGUGGAAACCCUUACCUUUGAGAUGAGCCCAGUACCAGCACUAACAUAUGGAACCAUAGAGUUGACACUGGAGGAACCCCCAGGUUUCAUUUGAGAGGACACUGGAGUUCAGCGUGGAAGAAAGGCCUGCCCAAAGUCACACAGCCCAGGGCUCCUGGCAGGGAGCCACGGCUGCUUUCUCUGCUCCAUACUGGAAUUAAAGGUUGAAUUCCAGGCAAUUUUCCAGUUCCUAGUCCCACUGGAUGGAAAGUCAACACACCUGGUUCUCUCAGUGAUCUGAAAUCACAUGCAGAAAUCCACUCCUUAGUCACAAAGAGAAGUUAGUGGAAGUGUGUUUUGUUCCUAGUUAUCCUCUCCAAAGGUUCAGCCCUUUGCAUUCCCUUAGGAGAAAACAGGGCCUGCCCUCCUCAUGUCUGUCACCUGUCCAAGAUCAUUCCUUCUAUCAUUCACCUCCCAUUAACCAAAAUCCCCUUCUCUAGGUACCUGGGUCUUGGACAGCUGUCAAGUGGAAAGCCUUCUGAUUAACUAAUACUAUAAUGUAAAUGACUGCAAAGUUCCCUCUUGUGAUAACUGAGUCCUGGACAGUGGUCAAGGAAGAAAUCCUUCUUAUUAAUUCCCAGUAAGAUGUGAAUCACUGACAACUAGCUCUCCAAUUGUAUCGUCAAAGAGAGUGCCUGGAGGUUCAAAAUGUUCGUAAUUCCUUUCAUUUGUUUGACAAUUAUAGAAGUUUUGCUCAAAUCUGGGUUUAGUCACUUAGGAGCUUUGACCUUAUUAAAGUUAUUUAACCUCCCUGAGCCUCAGUUACCUCACUGGGAAAAUGAAGAUCAUAAUUAGACCCCAAAAUAUCAGGUGAGAAUUAACUGGGCUCACAGCAUAGCCUCUGACUGAUUAUAGGUGCUUAAUAAAUGUUAGUUCCUUUUGAAAGAUAGAAGUUGCCACCCAUGGAGAUUUUAAAACUUGCUCAAGAGCACUGCUGGUGAGAGCUGGGUCAGAAACAGCAGUUCAGAAGCUUCUAGCAGCGUUGCAAAGUCCCUCCUGGCAGGACAUCAGCAUUGGUCUCAUUCAUUGACACAUGUCUGAGGCCCAUGCCUGGGUACUAGGGAUAUGGGCAAUGUGGAGAGGCUGGUGGGCAGAGUACUUGGAGAGUGGUAGUUGCAUGGGAGUAGUCACAGAAAUCACUGUUUUGGGAGUCUUCAGCAGACUCCAUCACUGUGGCCAAGCUGGGGAGAUGAGGGUGGCUUGAGGUUGGGUUAGACAGGCAGGGCAGAGGUGUGUGGCAUUGUUGAUGGGCCAGGUCAACUUGGAUGAGGUCUCUUGGCAUGCACCUCUCCUAGGGGAUGUGAGAGCUGACCUCUGUGGGGAAAGACCUGGGCUAUCCAUCACCUGUUUGCUCAGGGCAUUAUGCCCUUGUGUGAGAGGCAGCUGAGUGGCCACAGGGCCUCUGCAGCCUCCAAACCUGGGAGACAAAGAGGGGAAGGCUGACUCCCUCUUGGUGAGGAACCAACUUCUUCUAAUUCAAGGAGGCUGGGGCUGCCACCACCUGACAUCAGCCAUGGGGACCGGUUUGUUCUGUCAUGUCUUCAGAGGACUGGCCUUGGAAAGCAGCACUGCUGGAAAUCCUGCUGUAAAGCACAGACUUCUGCCAUGGAGUCCAAGUUUGUCCAAGUUUUCAUGCAAUGGGUUUGCUAAAAGUGGGACCUAUUGUUUUGUUAUAGAAACCUGGGCUAAGGACUCACAGCAGAUAAAAAUAAACUUAUUUCAUUAUCAAAGUAAAACAUGUCCAUUGCAAAGGAUAUAGAAAAUACAAGAAAAGUGAAAUGUUAAAAUCAUGCACAGUGCCAUCCCAAACUCUUACUAAGAUUCUAUGUGUUAUGUUCGUGCAAAAGUAACUGCAGUUUUACCAUUACUUUUAAUGGCAAAUUAAAAGUUUAUUCCCUUUGAUGCAAUAUUGGGACUCUAAUUAAAAGUUACGGCAAACUCGCAAAACCUAAUAUUUUCUUCUACCAUUUUUUCCACAUACAUUUUUGCAGAUGUCAUCUUAGUUUCCUGCCAUUUUGUCACAUGCAUAAACAUAUUUUAAAUUAUUAUAAUAUGCUUAUACAUUUCUUUUGUUUACUGUCUUUUU